UUUCGAGUAUAUUUGAGCCAACUUAAGUGGGUUGUAUUUGAGCUUUACACCAGUGAAGUUUCUCUAGACUGCUUGAUUUAAACAUCCUAGACUGCUUGAUUUUAUUAUUGGCUGCUUCUGAUCGACGGUUGACAGCCGCUGACCUCUCUUCUUUUUCUUUAUUGUUUCCCACCUUCAGGUACACUGCUUCGAAAUGUAACUCUGAGUUCGAAG
rnacentral:lncRNA from 1 species